CUGGAGCUGUCUAGUCCUGGAUUGUGAGAGCCACUUGUGCCCGUCUGUUCCCAACUCUGCAUUCAAUGCCAUUAAAUCAUCGGCUUGAAAUCAGGUCUGAUUGGACUGUUACAAAUCAGGUAUGAUAAUGAGUAUUUAUAGCAUGGAAAUGAGCAAACGCUACAAAUCAACACCUUUCCCCCCUAACUGUCCCCCAUUUUGCUUCUGAGCCAAGUGAUAAACAUUUGCCAGCACACCACUGGAUGUUAACUGUAUUUUGACAAUAGGAAAGAGAAGAAAUGUGAUCAUACCAAAGAUGGUGAAAAAGCAUUUGAUGAAAUUGUGCAGCCAUUGCAAAUAAAAAGGAGUGGAAGGAAAUUUUUAAAUGUGGUAGAAAGUAUUUGUUUGAGGGGUGGCUGGGUUGCUCAGUCGGUUAAAGUGACUGUCUCUUGAUAUUGGCUCUGGUUGUGAUCUUGCAGAGCGUGGAGCCUGCUUGGGGUCCUCUCUCUCCCUCUCUCUCUGCCCCUACUCUGCUUGUGCGCUCCUCUCUCUCUCAAAAUAAAUAAAUAAACAUUAAAAAAAGUAUUUGUUUGAAACAGUGAACAUUAUGUUAAAGAGUGAAAUAUGGGAUCCAUUCACAGUAAAGUCAAGAAAAGAUGGGCUUAUUUGUUUUACAUAUAUGUCUAUAUAUGUGUCUCUCUGUGUGUGUUUGUGUAUAUUAAUCACAAAAGCAUUUAGGGUAAUUGCUACUUCUGUUUACCAGGUCCUGCCAGCAUAACGUCAUCAAUGUAAUGGGCCAGUGUGGUGUUCUGUGGGAUGUCAACACGUUUGGAGUCCCUUGGGUGUAUAUUAUAACAAAGAACAGGAGCCGGCAUUGUCCUGAGACAUGAACAGUAAAGUUAAUACUCCCGAUCCUACGUUGAAUGACUGGUUCUUAAAGAAGAGAGCACAGGCUAUGCAAGCAUUAGAAGGAAUUGUGGCAUCAGCGCCCUGAUAAGCAAGUCCAACUUAACUUCUCACAGAUGCCUGGCACACUCAGAUUGGACUGUAAUGACACUUGAGCUUCAUAACUAACUGUCUCCUUCACAUCACAUAGCAGUAAGUACAGGAGAAGAAGAAGGAGGGCUGCAGGACAGAGAGUGGCACAGUCUUCAGAAGCUAUAGCACUAUCUGCGCCCUGAUUAGAAGAUACUUUCAAUUGAAGACACUUUAGUUUUACUCUUUGUGUCGGGGCAUAAACAACUGUAAGUACGAGGGGCAAAACUCAUGACUUUUGUUGAAUUGAGUUGUACUGUUUUCUAUGUUGUGUAUGCGAGGUCUCUUUUGGACCACUGACUAUUGCACUUUCUAGCAGUUGUAAGAAAGCCUUGCCAGCCACCCUUUCCACCUGCGUUCUGCAACUGAUGAAUUCUUGGCAAACCGCCAGUCUCAUCUACUUCACUUUCUUGUGCUUCUUCUCUAUUAUAAUUGGAAUCUCAGAGCGACUUGGCAUUUACAGAGUCAACAUCUUCACCUAUGUAUCCAGCCAUGUAUUUGAGUGUGACAACAGGACACACCUCUGUAUGAGGGAGUAAGCAAAGCAGUAAUGAGUCACCGGGUGCACAAAUACAAACAUGGCAGCUAGACAUCUCUGACUGCCAGCCUGGCUCCCUAGAACCAUUUCUUUUUCUUUCUUUCUUUCUUUCUUUCUUUCUUUCUUUCUUUCUUUCUUUC